UAAAAGUUUGAUUCUGGCUUAGUUCAAUUUGUUAUUAAGUGAUUGUACAUGCAAGUAUUUGCGCGAUUGGCCGAAUCUUAAAGAUUCAUAAUUUUUAUUGCAGUUCUUUAUUUUAAGUUUUAAGGAAUCUUAGAUUUAGUUAAUUUAUAGAAUCUUGGCAAAGGUUGUGCCAGCAGCCGCGGUUAUACAUCCCAGGUGAAUGAAUUUUUUAGGCGUAGGAUUUAAUUUUAACUAUGAAUGAGUAAAGGUAUAUUUUUAGGUGAAAUUGGAAAUAUAUAUAAUUCAUUUUUAAUGAUUAAAAUCUGAAAGUUCUUGAAUGAAAUUAGGAUUAGAUACCCUAUUAUUUAGUACUGUUAAGUUAGAUAUGCCUUAGUAUUAAUAGUUAUGUUCUUAAAAUUAAAAGAAUUUGGCGGUAGUCUAGUCUUUCUAGAGGAACCUGUCCUGUAAUCGAUAAUCCACGAUGAAUUCUACUUUGUUUAUUACUUGUAUACCUCUGUCAUGAAUGUUUUAUUAGGAAAUUUUCUUUAAUCUUUAUGAGAAGUAUGUCAGGUCAAGGUGUAGUUAUAGCAAAGAAGAGAUGGGUUACAUUAAUUUUGUUUUUGGAGGUAAAUAUGGAAAUAUUGCUGAAAUUGGAUUUAGAAGUAAAUGUUAUUAGAAUAUAAUAUUGAUAACAGCUCUGGAUUAUGUACACAUCGCCCGUCGCUCUCGUUGAUUUUAAGAUGAGAUAAGUCGUAACAAAGUAGGCCUACCGGAAGGUGGGCCUGGUUAGUC
rnacentral:ncRNA from 1 species